rnacentral:rRNA from 1 species
UACGUAGGGUGCAAGCGUUAAUCGGAAUUACUGGGCGUAAAGCGUGCGCAGGCGGUUUUGUAAGUCUGUCGUGAAAUCCCCCGGGCUCAACCUGGGAAUUGCGAUGGAGACUGCAAGGCUAGAAUCUGGCAGAGGGGGGUGGAAUGCCGCGUGUAGCAGUGAAAUGCGUAGAGAUGUGGAGGAAUACCGAUGGCGAAGGCAGCCUCCUGGGCCAACACUGACGCUCAUGCACGAAAGCGUGGGGAGCAAACAGG